CGGGCGGGCGACAGGGAAGCAAGGAAGAUGCUCAAAAUGGCGCUGGGGCCGGGCUGCAGGGAGGGCGAGGGAAGAGACGGUGGCCGCCAUGACAGCCGCUUCGGGAUGCUCGGUCCCCGCGCCCGGCGUCUCCUUUCCGGAUCUUCCAGACGCCACGGAAGGAAGGGAGCCCGGGCGCCUCCUUUUCGUUUUUGUUUUAUUUAAACAAAUGCCGCGAGGGAGGCCGAGGACGCGAGCUUCAUCUGCCAUCUCACCGCUGUCUGCUGUCCCCCACCGCGCCCAGCCAGGCUCCUUGCAAACCCGGCAAAGCGGGAAGCCGAGGAUCGAUCUCCCCCAUCUGCCUCCUGGUUUGUUCCGGGGAACGCGGAGAUUUAAAGGGCCCUGGAAAGCCAUCCAUCCUCCUUAGGUUUACUUAAUAUUUCUCUGGCUCAGAAACAGACACCGCAGGGUUACCUCCCCAGCAGAUGCUGCCAUUCUACGAAAGCAGUUUAUUUCCUGGGCCUCCCAGACUUUCCCCUGGACCAGAAGGACGGACGGGAACUUGGAGUACCAGGCACUGGGAGGCCACAACUGUCAAGAGAAGCCGGGAGCCAACAUAGGUCAUGACAUAUAGGACUAGACAGGCUCUCCCAUAUUUUUUUUAACUGGUCCCUCAGUGUGGCUAGUGCACACAUCUUAUUCAGCUGGAAUUUAAUCCCUUAAACUGUCUUAAUAUAGAAUUCAUCUCCUGUAUUAAAUAAUCCUAUGUCAUGUUAAGUUGCACUUAUUUCUUCAUAAAUAAAUUAAUAUAGAACAAUUA